CACUAAAAAGCUAGCUUAACCAACU
rnacentral:rRNA from 1 species